UUGCUAAUUCAUAAGCGGAGGAAAAGAAACCAACCGGGAUUGCCUUAGUAACGGCGAGUGAAGCGGCAAAAGCUCAAAUUUGAAAUCUGGUACCUUCGGUGCCCGAGUUGUAAUUUGGAGAGGGCAACUUUGGGGCCGUUCCUUGUCUAUGUUCCUUGGAACAGGACGUCAUAGAGGGUGAGAAUCCCGUGUGGCGAGGAGUGCGGUUCUUUGUAAAGUGCCUUCGAAGAGUCGAGUUGUUUGGGAAUGCAGCUCUAAGUGGGUGGUAAAUUCCAUCUAAAGCUAAAUAUUGGCGAGAGACCGAUAGCGAACAAGUACAGUGAUGGAAAGAUGAAAAGAACUUUGAAAAGAGAGUGAAAAAGUACGUGAAAUUGUUGAAAGGGAAGGGCAUUUGAUCAGACAUGGUGUUUUGUGCCCUCUGCUCCUUGUGGGUAGGGGAAUCUCGCAUUUCACUGGGCCAGCAUCAGUUUUGGUGGCAGGAUAAAUCCAUAGGAAUGUAGCUUGCCUCGGUAAGUAUUAUAGCCUGUGGGAAUACUGCCAGCUGGGACUGAGGACUGCGACGUAAGUCAAGGAUGCUGGCAUAAUGGUUAUAUGCCGCCCUGUCUUGAACCGGGACCA
rnacentral:rRNA from 1 species